AUUCCUCUUGCCUGCUCUUCUUAUUUCAUAUCUGAUACUGAACCCAUCAACAGUUCCUUGAAUAAAGAUCAGAAUCCAAAACAUUCACAUGACUUCCAUUGCCACCAACAUGGGACAAGCCACCAUCUUUUCUUACUUGGAUUACAGCAAUAGACUCCUAACUGGUUCCCCUGCACCAUCCUGCCCUUGACCCCACUAUGCAUGUGUGCUCAGCUGUGUCUGACUCUCUGCAGCCCAUGAACUGUAGACAGCCAAGAUCCUCUGUCCAUGGAAUUUUCCAGGCGAGAAUACUGGAACAGGUUGCUGUUUCCUUCUCUAAGGGAAUCUUCCCAACCCAGGGAUCGAACCUCAUCUUUUGAGUCUCCUGCAUCGCAGGCAGAUUCUUUAUCACUGAGCCAGUGGGGUCAACAGUGAUCCUGUUGCAGCAUGAACCUUAUCACAUCACACCUCUGCCAAAACCUUCCAUUGGCUUCCCAUCUUAGUCAAAGUGAAAGUGAAAGUCACUCAGUCGUGUCCAACUCUUUGUGACCCUAUGGACUAUACAGUCCAUGAAAUUCUCCAGUAUUCUUGCGUAGAAAAUCCCUAUGAACGGAGGAGCCUGGCAGGCUACAGUCCAUGGGGUCGCAAAGAGUCAGACACAACUGAGCGACUAAGCACAGGACAGGGAGCAUAAGUAUAGCUCAACCUCGGCUCUGUUCUUGUGAAAUACAAUUUAGAUAAGUUCAUAGAUGGAAAUUUAUGUAAAUUCAUUCUUUUCUGUCAAUCAUUAUUUAACUGGUCUUGAGGAGAUACACAUUUUGGUUCUGGUUUAUCUGAAAGUGAGACUCUACGCAAGGUCCUAUCUAGAAAAAAGAAGAUUUAGGCUGUAUGGCUCUCAGUGACUGAAAGAGGCACCCUAGCAUGCUGCUAAAUUUCAACUAGCAUUAAAAUUGAACUUUGGUGACAAAUUCAUCCACUGGAAGGAUGUCUUUCAUAGCAUGUUGUGCUGAAGAGGUCACAUGAUAAAAU
ensembl:lncRNA